rnacentral:lncRNA from 13 species
GCAUCAUCUCAGGAAAUCUUGUUGCCUCCAUCCUGAAAAUACAUCCAGAACAUGUCCUUUUCUUAUCACUUCCACUGCCCUGACCUUGGCCCAAGCCUCUAUUAUCCACAAUAACUGAAGCAAGAAUAUCAUUGAGAAGAUCCUAGAUCUUGGGAGUGAGGCUGAGACACCCCCUUGGACCACAGAAAUGAGAAAAGUUGCAACCAAACAGAGGACUGAUUCUUUUUUGACUACACCACCCCUCCCCAAGACUGGCACCAUGAGCUACUGAGAAAUAGGCCCAGGAUAGAACAAAAAGGAGAAAUGAUGGCAAGAAUCAUCCUCUGGAGAGUCCUUUUUAUAAAGGUGUCUAGUGCUAUGGAACAGCUUGCUUCAGAAUUUAGUAGUUUAAAACAACAACAAACAUUUAUUACCCCAGUGUCUAUGGAUCAAGAACUGAGGAGAAGCCUGGCUGAGUGGCUCUGGUUCAGGGUCUCUCAUGGAGUCACUGUCAAGAUAUCGGCUGGAGCUGUUGUUAUCUGA